rnacentral:rRNA from 1 species
UGCGGAGGGAUCAUUACCGAGUUUACAACUCCCAAACCCAAUGUGAACGUUACCAAACUGUUGCCUCGGCGGGGUCACGCCCCGGGUGCGUCGCAGCCCCGGAACCAGGCGCCCGCCGGAGGAACCAACCAAACUCUUUCUGUAGUCCCCUCGCGGACGUAUUUCUUACAGCUCUGAGCAAAAAUUCAAAAUGAAUCAAAACUUUCAACAACGGAUCUCUUGGUUCUGGCAUCGAUGAAGAACGCAGCGAAAUGCGAUAAGUAAUGUGAAUUGCAGAAUUCAGUGAAUCAUCGAAUCUUUGAACGCACAUUGCGCCCGCCAGUAUUCUGGCGGGCAUGCCUGUCCGAGCGUCAUUUCAACCCUCGAACCCCUCCGGGGGAUCGGCGUUGGGGAUCGGGACCCCUCACACGGGUGCCGGCCCCGAAAUACAGUGGCGGUCUCGCCGCAGCCUCUCCUGCGCAGUAGUUUGCACAACUCGCACCGGGAGCGCGGCGCGUCCACGUCCGUAAAACACCCAACUUUCUGAAAUGUUGACCUCGGAUCAGGUAGGAAUACCCGCUGAACUUAAGCAUAUC